UCAAGUAAACGCUGAAUGAAGGGCAGAUGGAGGAACCUGUCCCGGUCCGGCGAGAGAGCUGCGGGCGCCUUUCCGCUUACCGCGGGCCUGCCCAGCCUCCCGUCCAGUCCGGGCCGGGGUCCCGCCGAGGCAGGUGUGCGCGGCGGAAUCGCUCUCGGGCACUCGGCGAGACCGAGCUCCACCCCGAACGCCACCGGGCAGGCCACGCGCAGACCCGAGCCCGGGGCCCCCGCCUCUGGCUGCCGGCCCGCGCUCGGCCCCGGUCCCGCCUCCCGGAGGUUUUCGCUUUCGCUUUCCUGCCGAUGUCGUUGAGGAAAAUGAAAGUGGUUGUGUCCAGGACUGGCGCAGCUGCCGUUCCCGACGAGAGGCGCAGAAUGCGGCGGCGGCCAGCCUGGAGUGCGGGCCCUGGGGCGCCCGCGCCGGGCGAGGUGGCAGCACACCCAGGCCCCCCAGGCAGUCCUGAGGAUGGCCAGCAGAGAAGAAAAUGGACUCCCUGGCUGCUGGAGAGUUGAAUGCCAGCCACCAGCCAUGGGUACCAGAGUUUGUAGCGCAUUGGAGGAAAACACAUCAAGAAUAUCCACAUAGCACCAGAAAAUGUCCAAAUGACGAUCAACAGUGGAGAGUACAAAUAAAUUGUGCAGUGUUCCUGGGUGAAAUGAACUUCAGCGACUUGCAAUAACUGUAAUAUUGUCAUAUUGGAUAAUAAUACUGUAAUAACAAAUGACUCAUCAAUGAAUAAAACCUACAAAAGAAUGCAUAUAGUAUAAUUCCUUUUAGCAAAAAUCUAACAGCUGGCAAAACUGAACUGUAUUGUUAAGGAUACAUGCAGAAGAGGUCAAACUACAAAAAGCACAGAAGUAUUACAAAUGUCUAUUUACUCAUGCACAAGGGAGGGUUGGGGUUGUGAUUAGUAGAUAACAUGGAGGUGCUUUGGGGAUGCUAGUAUUGUUUUACCUCUUUAACUUUGGGAGAUUACCCUGGAUUAUUGGGUAGAAACUGGGGUGGGUGGGCCCAAUGUAAUCGCAAGCAUUCUUAAAUGGAGAAGAGAGAGGCAGAAGGGUGAGAAGCAGAAGCAGAGAGAUUGCAAUAUAUGAAAGACCUGGCCAGCCAGUGCUAGCUUUGAAGGUGGAGGAAGGGGCCGCAGGCCAAGGAAUGUAGGCAGCUUCUAAAACCUCGAAAGGGGAAGAAAGGAGAUUCUGUACUAGAGCCCCCAGGAAGGAAUGCAGCCCUGCUGACACCUUCAGUUUAGCCCAGUGAGACCUGUUUUAGACUUCUGACCUACGGAACUAUAAGAAAAGAAAUUUGUGUUGUUUUAAGCCCCUAAGUUUAUGUUAAUUUAUUAGAGCAGCAACAGGAAGCUGAUCCACUGGGAAACCAUCUGGGAUAUGCAGCCACCCAAAAUCCCUGCUCUUGGUUAGAUUCAGCCUUACAAGGCUCCACAGCCCCUCUGCGAAAGACUCCAUUCCCUCUUGGAGAAGCUCAGACUCUAGAGCCCUGGGCAGGGAACGGGCCUCCAUGGCAUGGGGGUGAUCAAGAAGGAUGGCCCCCAGGACAGUGCCUCUGCUGGACAUCUCUACAGAAAACAGUAUAUCCCUCAGUGGCAUGAGAAGAUCCAAUAGGGUCACCACACUCCACAACUGCAGGGGAAGCUGUUCACAUUUUAGUCUAUGCAGCCUCUGGUGGCCAAAGAUUAAGCGAGAACACUUUUGCUGGGUGACCUGAAGUUCAUGGUCAGUAAGUUGUAGUUAUUAUUAUGCACGACUUAGGGGGAAGCAGGGUCACUGCAGAGGAGCAGUGGCUUUAUAGAGAUUUGCUUUAUGAUUAUUUGUUAAACUGAACAUAUGUUCUGUGUAUUUUUCUGCAUAAUUAUUGUUUCACAAUUUUUAAAAAGUGUACACGCACAUGAAUCUUCUCUAGCCCUGAACAGCACAGUGAACAGACAGGGCAGCAGAUGAGCUCUGCCCCACGCCGGCCCUGUUUCAGAACAGCACUCCAGAGUGCCACACUGCUUGCUGAACCACAGCUGUUACUGCAGAUUGAGGAGCCUCAGAGGGAACAGAAGAUAAAGAUCAUUAUGGAAUUUAGGAUUGCAGGACAUUCUUUGACAUUUCAUAACAGCCAGGGAAGAUCAACUGUGGUUAGGGGAACAGGGCAGGAAGAAACCAUGGCCAAGACCUGUCUGGCAGGACUUGAAGGGGCAGAGGGACCCCUGCAAAUGACCCUGCCUGGGACCCAGCCCCACUUGGCCCCUGUAUAGCACUGAUUCAGCUGGGGCUUUUAUCUCAGGAUCCCCUCUUCAGGGAUGCCUGCAUUUGUUGAUUACCUGCCAUAUGCCUGGUCCCUGCAGAAUAUAAGGAAGAAAAUAGCCUUCAGCAGAGGCUGAGACAGGAGCCUACAGGAUGCACAGUAAGGGGUCCAAGGCUCAGGAUGAGGCUUUCCUGACUUUCUCCCCUAGGGGACUGACGUUCUCUACUGGUACAGGCCUUGUUUUAUUCAUCCUUAUGUCGCUCACCUGGAAUGGGCCCAGGGUGACAGUUGUUAUAAUAAGUGUUUGUCAAGUGAGCAAGCGUGUGGCACGUGCACUGUAGAGAGUAAGGUCUCUAUAGGAUCCUGCUGGACAGGCAGCCCACUGGGCUCACCACUUCUCCAGAGGAGGGACUGGUCCCUUGCCAGACAGCCCUGACAGCUGGAGCAGGCUUCCUCAGGGGUGCCUGGAACUGUUGACCACGGCUGUUGCCCACUGGCCCCUCUUGGGAAGAGCAACCUAUCAGGUGUUAAAGAUGGUCUUCCUUUCUCUUCUCCAAGCUAAACAUGACUAGUUUCCAUCUCACCAUCUUCUGGCCCUCAGCAGACUGGUUAUCCAGCCUGGAGAGGCAACAGUAGUAUCCAGAUGUGAUCUGAACAGGCAGAACCAUGGAUGCAGAUGGAAAAUUCAGGUUUGUGUGCUUCGGCGGUCACUAUAUGCAAAUUGUAAUGGGGACAGUGGCUGGCAUGGCCUCCAGCACUGUGGGAAGGAUUAGGGUGUCUGCCCAUCAUUUUUCUCUCUUUGAUAGACACUAUUUACAUAGACACUGUUUUGGUGUAAAACCCUACGUUGUAGCCCUUGUCAAUAGUGUUAUGUUUCUCCUCAACUGUCCUGGAAACUCCCUAAGGUGACUGGCUUGUAGGCACUCCAUACCUGUUAGCUAGUAUUAUUUAUUUAUUGUUUUCUUAUUUGAAUGGGCAAUCAUUCAUGUCAUUUAAUGAGCAUGGGCUAUGUGCCAGAAAUCACCAGGUGCCAGAAUGUAACGCUGAACUACAGUAGACCUGUCCCUGGCCCCCAGAGCUCCCAGACACACUAGGAAGACUUGUUGAUUGAAUGAUAAACCUUGAUGGAACUCAUGAUUAACAUCUUCACCACCAGACAUCAUUGAGUGCUCUCUGUGUGUUCAACUCAGAACACACCCUUCCUGCACUCAGAGACUAGAAUGUGAGAGUCACUAAGGGAGUCACCAUUGUGGGAGUGAGAAAAUCCUGGACUUGGAACUGGCUAGGGAUCACCUCCCAACUCUGCCAUGAACCCACUGUGUGACCAUGGGCGAGUUACUUGACCUCUCUGAGCCUCAAGUUAUCUUAUCAGUGAAAUUGGGUUAAUAAUAUAUCUCUCAGUGGCAUAAGAGGAUCAAAUAGGGUCACCACACUCCACAACUCCAGGAGAUGCUGUUAACAUUUUAGUCUAUGGAUCCUCUGGUGGCCUAAGAUUUAAAUGAGAGCACUUUUGCUAUGUGACCUGAAGUUAAUGUCAAUAAGUUGUAGCUAUUGUUAUAUAUGACGUAAGCAGGGGUCACUGCAGGCCAGCAGGCUGACACAAUUUGUUCUUCAAGGAAGGGCAGGGCUCUGAGAAGUGCAGACUAUGAUGCAGGUGAAGGCCAGGAGGCAGGGACUCCCAGGGCAGGUCUGGAAGGAGUGAGGCUGGUGAGGGAAGUGGUCAGCAUCCUCAAGGCAUGAGUAAGGCGCUUGCCCUUUUCUCCAGCCACAGAGGAGCUGUUUGAAGCUGGGCACAGAGCUGGGAUGGAUGAGACCAAGGCAAAUACUUUACUUAUUAAGCUGCAAAGGACCCUAGGGAGCAUCUUGUGCAGCAUCUUGUCUUACCAGGCAAACAAAAGCCAGGGAGGGAAAGUAGUGAGUCUCCAGGGUCACACAGCAAGGCCAGGGCCCAGGCCAAGACUCCCACCCCUGCAGAGCCCAGCUCAAAUUAUUCCUUGAGCCCAGUUUGUGGCUCCACAAAAGAAAGUUCCUGGCACUUUUUAUAUUUAUUUAUAAUUUUUUUCUGAUUAUAAAAGUAAUUAUAGGCCAGUCAA